UUUUUUUUUGCAAAAAAAUUGUAUUAUGGUCGAUAAUAGUUUUAGGACAAAUAAUAAUCAAAUUACAAGUAUUCUAAUACAUUGAGUGGGUAUGGAACGCAAGCGAAGCUUUACACGCGUUUACUCUGCAGAGAAUACGUACAACAGCAUGGGCGCUUACCUAAUCUAUUUUUUCUCAAUUUGUCAAUCAUAUAGUAUUUUUUAUAUUUAUUUUAUUUGCAAAAUAAGGAUUUUCAACUUGUUUUUUUUUGUUUUAAGACCACACAUAAUUAAUCGAUCUUUAUUUAAAAUAAUUAAGAAAAUGACUGAUAGAAAACAAUUUUGAACUAGUAUUUCAGAUAUUAACAAUUUAUAGUAAUGACUGGGAGUGGGGCACGAAUGCUGUUAUUUUUAUCACUAGAAAUGUUUGGUCUAACUUUUCCUCCCGCCUAAGUAUAUAAAUGUUAAUAACUUCUGAUACGUUGGUAAAAGUUGUUAUUGAUCAAUCCACUAUUACACUAGAUAUAAAGAAAAAGAUACAAAGUGUAAAGUUCUCUGCAAUUUUCAGAUAAAUGCCUACAGUAAUUAGUAACCUAGCAGCAGACUAUUCAAAUUCUGGUAGCAACCUUUUCGUUACUGAUCAAGUAACUAAACACCAGUUAAUUGGUCAAUUACUCUGUAAUGUAUAAUGACUCAGUUUGUACAAAUAAGUCUCCAAUCGAAUUAAUACAAAACAAUUGCAAGUUUUCAAUAGUUUUUCCAACAACAGUAACUCCAGUUAAAGGACGAGAAAACCUCCUAUUUAAUUUUGGAUGUAAAGAGUACCCUUGAUGUUGAUUAGAGCAUAACAAAUCAAGUGGAUGAGGAAUACAUGAUGCUAAUGUUUGACUUUUCAAAAAAUUGUCUUCAAAAGACACAAAUGUCUGUUGAACAAGAAAUUCACUAGAUUGAUUUCCCAUGAUUAACAUUUCAUUAGGCUCAAAACUGAAAUUUCAAUUUUGAUAUGUUUUACACAAUUUGUUUAAAAAUAAAAUUAUUUCUCAUACCUAUUUUCAAAAUAAUGUGUAGUUAUUAAUGAUGGAGGAAUAGUCAGCAUAUGGGAAGAUUUAUGUAAAAAUCCCAUUCUAUUAUCCAAUGUUAAAACUGAAUGAUUUGUUGUAAUAUAGAAACUAUGAGCAUUAAAACUACUA